rnacentral:rRNA from 1 species
CUGCCUACGGGAGGCAGCAGUAGGGAAUCUUCCACAAUGGACGAAAGUCUGAUGGAGCAACGCCGCGUGAGUGAAGAAGGGUUUCGGUAUGUAAAGCUCUAUCAGCAGGGAAGAAGAAGGACGGUACCUGAGUAAGAAGCCCCGGCUAACUACGUGCCAGCAGCCGCGGUAAUACGUAGGUGGCAAGCGUUGUCCGGAUUUAUUGGGCGUAAAGCGAGUGCAGGCGGUUCAAUAAGUCUGAU